rfam:Triticum aestivum genome assembly, contig: Triticum_aestivum_CS42_TGACv1_scaffold_251927_3DL
CAACUACUCCCUCUGUCCCAAAUUUCUUGUCUUAGAUUUGUCUAGAUACGGAUGUAUCUAAUACUAAAAGUGACUUGAUACAUCUGUAUCUAGACAAAUCUAAGACAAGAAUUUUGGGACGGAGGGAGUACUUU